UAGGAUUAUGGGUUUGAGGAGCGCAGACAAGGUUAUGGGCAACCCCAGAAUCAGUAAGUUUCAUUUACAGAGAGAUCAGGAUUGCAAUCUAUGUGGAUCCAGGGACUUACGUGACAUAUCAGGGGCAAGGGCUUCCAAACCAAGACAGACUCAAGGCUGAAUCCUGGCCAGGCCAAUGACCGACUACAUAUCAUUGGGUUGGAAACCUCCCUAAGCUUUGCUUUCUUCGUCUCUAUAAUGGACACAGU
rnacentral:lncRNA from 1 species